rnacentral:lncRNA from 1 species
GCUCUCAAGCAGUGUCCUUUAGAGAAAAAUGCUUAAAGGAGAUGAGUGUCUGCCCAGGUGUGCCUUAACGUACACAAACACAGCCUUUGAUGUGGCACCAGGGAGACCCAAGAUUGCUUUAAUACAGCAUCCAAAUAACAACAUGAAUGCUAAAGGCUCAGGUUUCUUACUAUCUUUCAUCUGGUAAAUUAAUACCACCGUAUUUUUAAAUUAACCCUAUAGCUAUCUCAUCAUUCAUGUAAUUUUAUGAGACCUAAUAUUAAAGCACAGUUCAGAGUUCAAUAAAUUUAGCAAUGUCAAUACAACUGCACUGCUGAUCUUCUGAUGAACUGCUACAUUUCCUGGCAGGUCAAAAUAUGGAUGCAUUAGCCAUGUGGUCUGUUUUCCAGCUUGAUACUAUAUUUGGCAAUACAGCAAUAUUAGUGCUCAUAAAAUCUAACCUUUGCAAGGCUCACCCUGUGUGUAAGUAGAUUAGGUGGCUGCCAAUACGGGAAGAUUUUAGAGGCUGUAAGCCCUUACUAUUCCAAAUAUUCUAAAACAUCUACUCCGGACUUACCAUUGUACUAAAACCUAUACUAAACGCUAGAGCUAGAAAGAUAUAGCCCUUUCCUUCCAAUCAUUAGUGCUGUGAGAACAGUAGAGAUGUUUGACUUGCUAGGGCAUGAAGAAUACUUGUAGAGGUGAUCCUUGUCAUUAAGUAACUAGGUCUCUGUUCUGCCUGUGUGAAAAAUGCAAACAUGGGAGAUGAAACUCACUGGUCUCUUAACAUCUGUAUUAGGUAAAGGCUUACCUGCUAUUUUAAAAAAGUAGGUCCCAAAUGCAAUGAUUUUAAGAGAUCUGUCAGUUCCUAGGCGAUGUCUUCAUCUCCACAAUAAAAGCUGAAUUGCAGACAAGUCUAAAUUCUAGCUAAAGGCAAGGGGAAAGAGAAGAUGUCUUGGUCUGGCAAUUUUCUUUUAAACUAAUGAGGUAGAAAUUGCACUUAAUACUUCCAUUAAUACUCCCUUGAUGAUAACUAAGUCACAUCCCAGGGACAGCGGAAAAGGAGUCUGGAAAACACAUAGUCUCUACACAGAUAGCAACAUACCCAGUUUGGACCCUAUCGCUAUGGAAGAAAAGGAGUAUGGAUUUUGGUAAACCAGUGGCAGUAUCCAUCACAGAAUCAUAUGGAACAUGAACAUUUUCAGUGUAGUCCAUUCAGUAAAUAGCUUGCCUUAGUAAAAAUCUUGAAGUGAGUUGUAUAUUUAUACUUAUUCAUUGGAAGUUUUUGAAAUGCUUGAUGCUGCUUGAUGCUGGAUUCUGUAGUUAGUUAUGUGAUGAUCUGGCGCCCCCCAGCAGACCGAGUGAACACUGACUUAGUGGCCACUUGUGAAACACAGGCCUGAGAGUGGAGCAAGUCGGCAGGAGGUGAGCCUAGUGGUGGACUGAGAGAUAGAGCUUGGAGCUUUGCCAGCUGUAGCCUGUUUUCCCUGUUCUUGUGUCAGCAAGCAGAUAGGAACAACUAAGGAGAAAACUGCUCUCUUGAGUUAAAUUAUUAUUUUUCAAAUGCUAAGUCCUACAUACAAAAUUUAAAUUUUUUUACCUUGCCUUCUUUUCAGGACUACAAUUAGGGUUUGGAUCUUACAAUUAGGGUUUGGAUCUUGCUUGCCGUUUCUCAGUGUCCUUUCCACUCCUUUCUUUUUCAUUCUGAGAGAUCAUAGUAGAAAAACUGAGAGAAAAGUGCUGCAACUAUAACUAGUCACUUAUGAUGGAGCAUAAUAAUGUGAGAAAAAAGAAUGUAUACAUGCAUGUGUAAUUGGGUCACCUUGCUGUAUAGUAGAAAAUUGACAGAACACUGUAAACCAGCUAUAAUGGAAAAAAAUAAAAAUCAUUAUUAAAAAAAAAAGCUGAGAGAGCUCACCUUUGCAGUGAAAUCUGAAAUGUAAGACAUUUUCCUAGAUGUAUCCGUGGUUCUCACAGAGAGGGUUAUCCUAAAGCAAAACAUCUUAUUAAUGGGGCUGUAAUUUAGAUUUCCCUAACACUGACUAUCUUUCCUACAACCCUUUCAAUCUAAUAAGCUCCCUGGAAAGUUUCUCCACUGUAUAAAUUACUAAGAAGAAUGUGUUAAACUUUUCCACCAUUUGUUGGGAAAUGUGUUGCCUUUAAGUGUGUAUUGCAUUAAUCUUUGUAAAUGUAUGCCUUUUCUAUACGCUUCACACAGAAGUGCUGCUCAUAGAAGCAUGUCAUUAAAGGCUAAAUAUCUCUGAAGAUGUCACUUAGGUUGAAAAUCAACAUAACAAAAAGGGGGCUAUGAUAAUCUCUCCAACUGGGAAGAGUUUAUUGGUUGCUUAAGUUGGAAGUCUUUUUCAUUAUUGGUGACAGCUCACCAGAAUGCCUUAUUUAAUCACUAAUGUUAGGUCAGGAGGUCCAAUUCAGUUUCAAAGUCAAGCUCCCUGAAAGAAAAACCUAUACAAAUUUUUUUUUUUUCACCUUCAUCUCUCAUUCAAGGCAAUGAGGUUUUCAUCUUAUCUCUUCGUGGAAGGAUUGGUGUUGGGAGCCAGUCACCUCAUGUUCCCCAAAUGAAAUGAAUGUUCUCUUGAAGCAUUUAGCUCCCUUGGACACUAUUCUCAUCUUGAAUCCAUCUUUCUCCUUGUUUUUUUGUGACUUACUUUU